GAACGCGGGGGCCGCGCUCGCCCCGCCGCCCCCGGGAGGGACCCGCGGCCUUCGCGGCCCUUCCCGUACCCCUCGCCCAGCUUGCGAAACGGGAUCGCUUCCCCUUUCCUGAAAACGCGUUCCCUUUUCUAAGAACGGCCCGGACGCGGGGAAGCGGCGUUGCACCCCACCCCUUCUCCCAGAGAUGCAGGAGCAGCAGCGGCAUCCCCAUGGCAGGGAGGGAAUGGGAACGGGAGAGCGUCCAGUGCUCCUGGCAGGCAGAAGGGCACAUCCUUUCGCAAAAGCCAGCUGUGGCUGGUACGACACGGCAGCGACAGAAACCAGGCAAAGGAAAACUGUGGGUGCUGCACUUUGGCCACAUCGGUCUGGGGAACGUGAGCACCCCAAACUCAGGCCUGGAGGUUGGACAGCACAGCCUCAAACUCUGGAUCCAACCUCCUUGAGGGAGCUUUGCUUCCCCUUUGGCACCCACUUGCUGAGGAGCCAGAUGGACAGCUCAGCAGGAAGCAGCACUAAACAAAACAAGGGAGCCUGGCAUGGAUUGGUUAUAAAACUCCUUGCUUUCAUUUUAU